rnacentral:rRNA from 1 species
AGCGAACGCUGGCGGCAGGCCUAACACAUGCAAGUCGAGCGCCGUAACAAUACGGAGCGGCAGACGGGAGGGUAACACGUGGGAACGUACCCUUUGGUUCGGAACAACCCAGGGAAACUUGGGCUAAUACCGGAUAAGCCCUCACGGGGAAAGAUUUAUCGCCGAAGGAUCGGCCCGCGUCUGAUUAGCUAGUUGGUGGGGUAAUGGCCCACCAAGGCGACGAUCAGUAGCUGGUCUGAGAGGAUGAUCAGCCUCACUGGGACUGAGACACGGCCCAGACUCCUACGGGAGGCAGCAGUGGGGAAUAUUGGACAAUGGGCGCAAGCCUGAUCCAGCCAUGCCGCGUGGGAGAUGAAGGCCCUAGGGUUGUAAAGCCCUUUCGGCGGGGAAGAUAAUGACGGUACCCGCAGAAGAAGCCCCGGCUAACUUCGUGCCAGCAGCCGCCGUAAUAC